rnacentral:rRNA from 1 species
GACGAACGCUGGCGGCGUGCUUAACACAUGCAAGUCGAACGAUGAAGCCCUUCGGGGUGGAUUAGUGGCGAACGGGUGAGUAACACGUGGGCAAUCUGCCCUUCACUCUGGGACAAGCCCUGGAAACGGGGUCUAAUUCCGGAUAUCACUCUCGCAGGCAUCUGUGAGGGUCGAAAGCUCCGGCGGUGAAGGAUGGGCCCGCGGCCUAUCAGCUUGUUGGUGAGGUAAUGGCUCACCAAGGCGACGACGGGUAGCCGGCCUGAGAGGGCGACCGGCCACACUGGGACUGAGACACGGCCCAGACUCCUACGGGAGGCAGCAGUGGGGAAUACUGCACAAUGGGCGAAAGCCUGAUGCAGCGACGCCGCGUGAGGGAUGACGGCCUUCGGGUUGUAAACCUCUUUCAGCAGGGAAGAAGCGAAAGUGACGGUACCUGCAGAAGAAGCGCCGGCUAACUACGUGCCAGCCGCCGCCGUAA